GCGGGCGUGGCGGAAUGGUAGACGCAGCAGGUUUAGGUCCUGCCACCGCAAGGUGUGGGGGUUCGAGUCCCUUCGCCCGCACCA
rnacentral:tRNA from 1 species